CUGAUAAUUACCGCCUACUUUUUCGGGAAGGCUUUUUUUCAGCGGACAGAUACAAGAAAAAAAAUAAGCUCUUACGAGUGGUCCAAAACCUUGAUUUAAAACAUUAAUCAUUAUUGGUCGAGUGAUAAUAGUGUGUCGCGUUGCACAGUUGUUGAAAUAUGAAAAUAGAUCCACAAAUGUAGCACAAAUAAAACAGUCGCCUGCUUCAAGGCAAUUCAGAGAAAAUGGAUUUAUGGCUGGGUACAUUAGAGAAGACACACCAAUACAAUAUUCAAUUCACGAUAAGACGUAACAGAAAUGCAUAAUAUAUCCCCCCAAGUAUUCCACAUGGCCGUGCAACUGCUUCGGGCAACGAACACAGGAGCUGAUCCAAGUUCAAAGUCGCGUCUGCCGACCCCUCUAAGAAGUUCUUUAUUUCUGUGGAAAACCACAAAAAACCAUUCCCCCGCCACUUUGGACAAAGAAGAAAAAAGAAAUUAAAAAGAAAAAGAAAAGAAAAAAACCCGAAUAGCCCACAAUAGGCCUGUGGGUAGAGGUAGACACACAUUCUGAUUUGCACCAUGGAGAAACAAAACUAAAAAUAUUAUAAGUUUUACUAACAGUAGCCUACUUUACUACCAGUGAUUAAAUAUAAAACUGAACGGAUAAUAAUAGACGGUGCGUUGAAGUACAUAUUUGCCAUAUAGACAUUGGUGAUUCUGAAGUCUGAGUUAUUUAAUUGACAGGGAAAAAAAACACUUGUGAAAUUGACGCUGUUUCCAAUAGCCAGAUACACAAUUUUUUAUCCUGAGUGAACGUCUUACUGUCUGUAUUAAAGUCACAGAAAUACAACAAGGGUUUCCCAUUACCCAGUGGGCAUAUAGCUGGCCUUUCUAUAUAUGUGGAUAGAGUUGACACCAUCCAUAUGUUUUCGCAUUGUUGGUUAGCUCAAAUGACCUUGAGUGUUUCAAGGACGUUUGACCUCUGACCCGGGAAGACCACAUACGCUGCCCUUGGAACUGGUUGCGUAAAAUAUACCUCUGUUAAAACAAAGGCGUUUUGCUCAAAAGAAAGUUUUUAGAAACAGCAUUUUAAAGUGGAAAUUGUGUAAUUCUCAAAUAUAGCAGAUUUUAGCAGUUGAGUUGACUGGAGACAUACACAUGAAAAACGAUGAUUUCGAAACAUUCCGUUCUUCUCAGCUGUCUCAGUUUUCUGGUGAGGAGGCAUUAAUGUGAAGUCUUCACUGGCUACACGUUUUUUUUCGAACUGUUUGUCAUUCUGUCAGCAUGCACUGGUGAAUAGUUAUCACAUAGCCAGAGAUGUGGGUCAUUCCAUAACUUACCUACAUUUUGUUUAUUAGGUCUAGACCUUAAUUGGUUGAUUAAGUAGGCUAUCGUGUAAUUAAACAUAAGACAUGGUGCCGAAGAAGAAAAUGUUUUACGUUCUCCUCAAAGGGUAGAAACUGGUUGAAUUUCCCACUGGAUAUUACCAUGGUGAGGAACUGCAACAAUGAUGAACAUGGGGUAGAUGGAUGGCUAUGCCUAGCUCAUAUAGGGAAGGCACCAGCAUACUGAUUACACUUGUUUCUUUGUAGGAAUAGGCAUUAAUUUUAAAUGCUUUUAAGGGAUGAAAACAACUAGAAAGCAUCCAGAGAGAGGACACCUAUUCUGUUUAAGCUACAGGUGCAAGGCGCAGAAAUCCUGUAUAGGCCUACAAACUCAAUAAUACUAAUAAAAAUGAUAUGAUCCCAGACA
rnacentral:lncRNA from 1 species